rnacentral:lncRNA from 1 species
UUACACUGGACUUUUCCCCCAGUAAAGGCAUCAGUUUUCUGGCAUAAAUGAAAGAACUAGAGCACUCACCAAAUGCUGUUUCAUGGCUCUUUUGAGUUCAUUAAUUUACAUAAAUUCUACUAUUAGCUAUACUUUGUGGUGUGGCAAAGAAUGCAAUGAAAAUUAGUACCAUAGUAACUGGUAGUAAUUGUAACAGCAGUUACUGGAUAAGGGAGUCAGGGAGACAUUCAUUAAGAGAUACUAGACUCUCAUGCAAGGGUAUAUGGUAGGUGGCUUUAUUCAGAUUAGGGUGCAGAUGGAAUCACAUCAUGACCUUUAAUCUGGUGGAUGUGUAGAUAAAGAUUUGAGCAAGUGCCUUGUUUUUCCUGGAAUAUAUUAAAACUCACUUGGGACAAACCUUCCCAGAUAUAUGAUGAUUAAUUGCACCUCUGCCUUUUUCUUGGAACAACUUCUGGAUUGAGUCACCUAAUAUAAAAGUCCAAAAUUUCCUUGGUGAUUUUAUUUUGGUAUGUGUAAAACUGUUCAUAUUUGAUUUUAUUCCAUUAUUACAUGUAAUGGAAAAGACACUUAUUAGGCAGAAUCUAAUUCUUCCUUGGAUCUAGUUCCAUUUCUAAUGUCAAGUUCCUUCCUCAUCUUUCUACUCUAGCACUGUAAUGUAAUUUAUUUAUUUGUCAAGUUUAAUCACAUACAGACCAUGUCUUGGUCACAGUUCAGAAGAACUUCAUUUCUUCUUAAGGUUCUUUAAAUCACCUUUAUUUUGAGAUGGCAGUCUUUCAAGUUAACAUAGUAACUUGACUAACUAGCUUAACUAACUAGCUUUCUCAAUGAGUAUACACAUAUUAAGUUGCCAUCAUUUGGAGCUCAUCUUAGUCUCCUGUGGUAUGUUUACUUUUUAUAUGGUUAAUCAGAGGAACACAGACAUUUUUAGCUUUUUCAGUACCCAGAGUUUUAAAGUACUUGAUUUUAUUUUAAUUUAGCUUCUGUACCUGAUACCAUGCAUAGGAUAUCAUGUUUAUUAUUCUAGCCACUUUCCCCCACCUCAUAUUUUUCAUUGUUAUUUAAAUUUUGUAUGCUUUCCAGUGGCGUGCAAUUGACAAUUACUGUGGAUGUUUGGGAAAAGGUUAAUAAUUUUAAUUAUUUUUGCUGUAAUUUUAUAGGGUAAAUGACUGUAAAAAAAAGUCUAUAAACCAGAGAGCAUUUAGGAAAUUUUAUAUUUUAUAGAUAGUCAUUAGGGUGAUCUUCAGGACAUGACACAUUGUUUACACAGACUUUGUUCUCCCAAUAUGAAGUUUUCACUCAUUUUCCUAUAGCUCAGCACUUUUGUUCUUUGUACUGCUUAUGAGGAUUAUUUUAAAUUUGCUUAAUUUGUGUUUUUCAGAGAAUUAUAAUCAUGACAGUUAUACUUCUGGUACCAUAAAUGUUGGAAUUCAUGAGAAAAUUAUCAAACAGUUGCUCGAAUAUUAUUACCCAUUAAAUUGGAUAGCUGCCACUAUAACCUGAAGAAUAUUGAUGGCUCAGUUGAAGGCCAUUUAUGCUUUAUGAACUAACUUCAUAGUAUUGUAAUUUAAAGGCAAAUAGAAGCAUUCUUAUUUGCCUUGCAUGACCAUUAAUUUUUGUUUUGCAGAAGAGAACUAAUUUUGUUAAACUAUUUUGUAUACCAACAAUGUCAUAUUCUGGGAAAAAAACUGUAAUUGUUCAUUUUUGUUUGUUUCUUUUUGGGAAAUCCUCAUAGUAAAAAUCAGAGCUUCUUGCUACCAUAAGCUAUUGAUUGUUAAUGAGAAUUAUUUGUAGCCAUUUUUUUAAAAAAUCCCAGG